rnacentral:snRNA from 1 species
AUUCCUAACCAUAAUUUUAAGGG